AGGAGAAGACACAGCUGGUUCUAAAUGUCGACAAACAGCUUGAAGAAGUCAGAGAGUUGCUGGAGCAGAUGGACCUGGAGGUGCGGGAGAUCCCCAUCCAGAGCCGAGCCAUGUACAACAGCAGACUGAAGAGCUACAAGCAGGAGAUAGAGAAGCUCGAGAAAGACUUUAAAAGGUCACGUAUUGCCUACAGUGAUGAGGUGCGCAACGAGCUCCUGGGAGAUGACGCCAGUUCCUCCGAGAGCCAGAGAGCACAUCUGUUGGACAACACAGAGAAGCUUGAAAGGUCAUCACGGAGACUGGAGGCCGGCUACCAGAUAGCAGUAGAAACUGAGCAAGUGGGUCAGGAGAUUCUUUCCAACCUGCACAGUGACCGUGAGAAGAUCCAAAGAGCCAGAGAAAGGCUGAGAGAAACAGACGCCAACCUGGGCAAGAGUUCUCGCAUCCUUACCGGCAUGCUGAGAAGUGAGAAUAUUGCUUCCCUCCACUGCCGUGCCACAACCCCCUCCCUCUCUCCUAACGGUAAACGUUAAGAUCCAGGAGUGGAUCAAUGGCUGUUAUCCUUUGAUGUGCUAGGACGCAUUACGAGCGGAUCAUCCAGAAUCGCGUCCUGGUCUUCAUCCUCGGAGCCAUCAUCCUUCUCACCAUAAUCCUGGCCAUCUAUUUCAAUAUGCGGGGCCACUGAUCUCCCCUCUACACACAUAUACACGCGCACAUACACUCACCCCCCACCUCCCCGACACAAAUACAAAUACACACACACGUGUGAUUAAUAGCGACAAAAGCGUUGUUCUGCUGUAAUUUGGACAAAUGGUCCCCAUGAAUCACUGUUUCCAAAGCCUGACAGGGAGCUUUUUUCCAGCUCUUUCUCCUUUCCUGUUUCUUUCUCCCUUUCUUUCCCUCUCUGUCCCUCUUUUGUUUCCACUCUGCGCUUCUCUUUCUUUCUUUCUUUUCUCCACUCAGUCCUGUCCUCUCUCUGCUCGGCUCACUCUUACAUCUCCAGGGACAAGAAUAGAGGGGAGAUGUUUUAUGAUAUAUGUUAAUAUUUUUCAUGGUAUCGUCCUCGGUGUGGUUUUGCAGCCCAUCCUGUCCCCAGGUGAACAAGGCCUGGGGAUUUUUUCCCCAACUCAAAGCAGAUAUGUAGAUUUUUUUUUUCUGUGAUGGAGGUAGGUCAAGUGUUAUUCAGGAUGUGUGUGUGCAUGCAUGAGUGACAGAGAAGAAGAGAUACGAGUGUUGUGCACAUGUAUGCAUGUUCACAUAUGCAUGAGUGACAGUCAUGGGUUGAGGGCCCGCACGGUGUUUGUUAUUAACAUCAACAGUAGACACACAAACUGCAGUAUGUAUGAGCUUCUGUAACUAAAUGAUUCAGCUGAUCUUCAUGUAGCCCCUACACAUCACAGAGGACAGUGCCUUCAGAUAAGAAAUGCUGUUCACAACAUCUUUAAAAAGUUCAACAGAGCCCAAAAUAGACAAGUGGCGCUGCCUUAGAAAGAGGAUGCACAUAAAAAGGUUGAGGUCAGUUCAACUUAAGUGUAGUCGAUCAAGGUGAAAGUUUUGUUUGUUUUUAUAAAGAGGAAACUGUUUAGUUUCAAUUACUGCGUUCAGGAAAGGAUAUAUGAACAUUUUAAUAGAAUUUGGAGAUUGAAAAGAUAAAAUAAAACAUACUCUUUCAAUAUGUUUUUAAUACAAAAUGGAACUGACCCCAACCUUGGCACAUACAAUACAUAACUAAAAUACAGAGAAAGGUUCAGACAUCAUAACCAUCUUUAUUAUACACAUUUGGUAAAAUUCCCCUGCACCUCCCAAACACAGAUUUCCACAAUUCAUUCCCAUGGACAUUUAGCAUAACUACCAUUGUGGAAAAGUAUAGACAUCAUACUGUAUGUACUAACAUUUAAAACUACAUAAUGUAUAGUGUUUUGCUCUCAAUACAAGUGAUUCUGUUACUAUUUAUUUAUAAAUGCAUAAAUGAGUUUUGAAUUAAAGUUUCUGUACAAGAACUGUUUAUUUUAUGAAGUUAAGGUGUAUUCAAAAUUAACAUUAGCAACAUGUUAUUUUUUUUCUUGAUUUUGGUAGUUCAGUGAUUAGACUAAAAUGCAGACUGUACACCAGGACCAACUGAAAUGUGUAGAUUUCAAGUUUUGUGUCUUAAAGUUUUUUUUUUCUUCUUCUUCUGUUCUUUUAAAUGGAUCUAACUUGUUUUAGAACUUGUACUUUUUGUUCUAUAUUUUUCUUGUCAAGUUCUGAAGAUUGUGAUGCAGUCCUUGUUUCUGUGUUUAUCUGUACGCUGAUUGAUGAUGUGAUACAUCUGCAGGUGUUUGAAAAAAAAUGUGUGCGUGAGUUUACUGCUGUUUUAAUGCGUCUGGGGAAAGCCAUUCUUCAGGGGUCUUGGAAAAUCUAAAUUUAAGAGCACAUUUGGAGAAUUUUCAAAACUUGAAGGUGAUGAUGUGCACGCCACAAAACACACAUACACACACGGGUGCAGCAUUGCAGUGCGCAUGUGUCUCCUGUGUUCGUUGUGGUGGUUCCCGGCGAGGACAUUUGCUAUUCUGUUUCAGGGCCAUGCUCUUCAUUUUCAAAUAUGCGGGGGUGUCGAGGUGGUGAGCCUCCAAACCCCCCCCCCACACUCCUACCGACCACCAUUUCACAGGCCCUCACCAGCCGCAGCGCCGCCGUCUGCUUCAAAGCCUCAAAUUAAUGGCCAACAAAAUAGUGUGCCUCUGACCGUCCCAUGCGGGGCCGACCCACCAAGACUUAUCAUUAAAGUAAAGGAAUAAUGAAAAAAGGAAGUAAGAAAAAAGAGGGAGAUGGAAGGAAGUGAACAAGGAAGCAUGGAGGUGGGGGAGAGGGGGGUGAAAUCCCUGGCAGUAUGACAAACCUCAUCUGGUAAUGACCCUCAGUGAUUGUUUUUUCACCUAGUGGUGUGCGUGCGUGCGUGCGUGUGUGCGUGCGUGCGUGCGUGUGUGUGUGUGCGCGCGCGCGCCUACCUAUGUGCCAAUGUGCUCUCUUCUCUUCCUCUCUCUUUCUAUCUGUCUUUCUCUCCCUCCCCAUCCCUCUUGCCCCCUCCCUUCACUCUACCUCUCCUGCCACCUUUUCUUCCCCUCCCUCCCUCCCUCCCUCCCUCCCAGCCUGUCAGAUGAGCGGAGCAGUAGCUAGCGAGUGAGCGGUGGAAGGCAGCGUGGCGGCGGCUUCUAUUUGAAGUUGUAAUGGUGUCAAAAAGUCAGGGCUGACUGACAGACGUCAGUCCCACAGGGCCUCAUUAAAAACAGACCCACUUGACAAGGAAAUAAUUGAGCGCCGGCGACAACUCAGGGGCCCCUCCGCGUUUUUAGAUGUUUUUAUUUUCUUUUCAUUAUUAGCGCAGAGCUAUUAUGUUCAUUAAGAAAUGGCAUUAAAACAAGUUUUUAAAAGCGGGUAAAGGGAGGGAGGGGCAGAGUGAAGGCAAGGAUGUAUGGAGGUGGGAAGAUAACGAUUUGUUUAGAGCCCCCAUCCUGUUUUAUAAUUUAAACAGGAGCACUGUCAUGUGAUACCUUGGCAGACGUCGGCUAUCAUCUGCCACUCCUCCCUUUUUUCCCCCUCUUUUUCUUCUUUUCUCCUCUUCACUCAUCCCUCACUUUCCCCCCAGCUUUUAUCUUCCCCUCCUCUGUCCAUCUCUCAUUCUCCACCUGCCUCAUCUCUCUCCCUCUCUUCAUCCCUUUCUUUCUCUCCCUCUGAGCGGUUGGUGUCUUUGGAAUAUGAACUAGAUUAUUCAUCAGUGCCCCCCGCUCCCCAGCACCACUCCCCCCAUUCGCUGAUUUGGUUUUCGACAAGCGUCUCACCGCAGAAGGCUGAGGAUGAAAACUUGUCAAAAAUAGGUUAUAUCUUAUUCCAAGGGGCAACAAUAGCAGCAGGUACAGACACCUUUUAAUAUUUAAUUUAGACGGGUGUUAACCCUCCUUAAGUGACUGGAGCUGUGUCUUCCAUACAGACACCAGGAGAGAAAAGGGGGGAAGCAAGCAAGAGGGGAGAGCAAUUAAUUAUUUGAUGUCUGAAAAGUGAUUUUGAAGCUCUCCCUGCCUUCUCCUGUUUGCCAGAGAAAGGCUCGAGUCUUUGGGUGUCCCUGUUCAUUUUCUACACCAACCACGUCCUCAGCCCGGCUGUCCUGUGAGAGCGGGAACAUCUUCACUCGAAUCACAUUUAGAUCCUCGCUCCGCUGUGCCUGGCUUGGUACAGUAAUGACAACACGAGUGAUCACAUAGCAGUGGUUUUGGUGUCUUAUUUCAUCAGCGGAAAUUAUUAUUUUUUACACCACCGUCUUGCGUCAGACUCUCUCGCUAACAUCCCUUGUGCCAAGCUCAGUUCAGUUCUCCCUCGUCUUUUCUAGUAGGUUUACAUAAAGGUACAAAAAAAAAGAAGGUUCCUCAACAAGGAACCUCUGUGAUGCACCACCAUUGCAAAAAGCCUGAUGUUUGUCAGCCAUUUAAGACGACGAGGGAUUGUGACAAGCAUCGUUUGAGCUGUCUGUCCCCCGACGAAGGGCGGGACUUAAUGGGAUAAACAGCUCCAGUGGUGGGAUCACGACGGGAGGGUGGGCGCUUCAUCUCCAGGAGUGUCCAUGAUGCUGGCACCCCCUGCCACACACACACAUUAAAGGGGCCCUCAACAACAGCUACCCAAGAAAAACCCACACUGGUACUGUUUGAGAACUACAAUGAAUCUUCUACUGUUUGAUUCAGCGCACACACAACAGCGCACAAACACUGUCCCACGUAUGGUGGACGCUCCCCAAUAAAAAGACACACACGCUCUAGUGUACGGCUGUUAGAAGAGGAGCCAUGUUCUCUUUUUGUACAUGCCACCAGUCCUAGCAGAAUGGCUUUCUUUCUCUCCUCGGCCCUUUAUCUGUCUUUUCUUUCGUCAGUGCUGUCGUCCAUUUUAAUGGUGUUUGCGCUCACAAAGAAAUGACAAUGCCCCCCAUUAUAUGAGGAAGUCAUGAGGGUUGCAGUCAUACAUACAUGGAUGUUUAUGUGCAUGUGCUAGCAGGAUGUGUCCCCCUGGGGUUGUGAUGGAGCUGGAGUGCUUAGUGUUGAAGGUUAUGCUGAAUUGUAUGGUUGUGUCCGUGACUCGUUUUUCCCUGACCGCUUCAAUUUAUCUUAUCCCUUCAGUAUAACCAAUCAAGACUUUGGACUUCUCCUGAAACUAUAAAGAUGACUUUUGUGAUCUC